ACACGGCAGGCCCUACGUAAAUAAGGCAGACCCUACAUAAACACCACAGGCCCCAUGUAAACAAAGCAGGCCCUACAUAAACACGGGGUCUCCUGCAGACCCCACAUAAACACAGGAGACCCCACAUAAACACAGGGGGGGCUGCAGACCCUACAUAAACACCAGGGCCCCAUGUAAAUAAAGUAGGCCCUACAUAAACACGCCCCGCCGUUACCAGGGCUCCCGCGCGUACUCCUCCAUGGCCGCCUCGCCCCGCCCCCGACACGUGACCGCGCCCCCAUUGGCUGCGAGCAAGUCACGGGGCUCGACGGGAGGCUCCGAUUGGCCGCCGGCUGAUCACGUGGGCCGGGAGAGGUCAGCGAGGGGAGGGGCGGUUGCCAUGGUAACGGGGGGCGUGGCCUGUAAGGGAGCGGGGUUGCCAUGGUAACGGGGGGCGUGGUCGUGGUGGUUGCCAUGUCAACAGGGGGCGUGGCCUGUGUGGGGAGCGGAGUUACCAUGGUAACGGGGGCGUGGCCUGCGUUCAGCGGGACGGUUGCCAAGGCAACAGGGGGCGUGGUCUGCGCGGGGAGCAGUGGUUGCCAGGGCAACGUGGGCGUGGUUACGAAGCGCGCGACUUCCGGUUCCGCCGGAGGGCGGGACUUCCGCUUUGAGCCCGCCGCCUUCCGGGGCGGUUUCCAGGCGCUGCCGGGGCCUUGCGGGGCCGCCGCCGCCGCCGAGCGCCCGGGGCCCGGUCCCGGAGGCUCGAGGCCGAGGCGAUGCCGCUGCCCGUGGCCCUGCAGUCCCGGCUGGCCAAGCGGGGGCUGCUCAAGCACGUGGAGCCCGAGCCGGAGGAGGAGAUCAUCGCCGAGGACUACGACGACGCCCACGUGGACUACGAGGCCUCGCGGCUCGAGGGGCUGCUCCCCCCCUGGUACAAGGUCAUCGACCCCACCUGGUGAGAGCCCCGCCCCCAAGGGCGCUAUAGGGGCCAUAAGGACCCAUCCUGGGCGCUAUAGGGACCGUAAGGACCUGUCGUGGGCACUAUAGGGGCUGUCCCGGGCGCUAUAGGGGCCCUAAGGCCCUGUCCCAGGCACUAUAUGGGCAAUGAGGACCUGUCCUAGGUGCUAUAGGGGCCAUCCCGGAACCUAUAGGGGCUGUAGGGACCGUAAGGACCCGUCCUGGGCGCUAUAGGGGCUGUAAGGACCUGUCCUGGGUGCUAUAUGGGCAACGAGGACCUGUCCUGGGCACUAUAGGGGCCGUAAGGACCUGUCCUGGGUGCUAUAGGGGCCAUCCCAGGCACUACAGGGGCCCUAAGGACCCGUUCUGGGCACUAUAGGGGCCAUAAGGACCUGUCCUGGGUGCUAUAGGGGCCGUCCCGGGCGCUAUAGGGGCCAUAAGGACCCGUCCCAGGCACUAUAGGGGCCAUAAGGACCUGUCCUGGUCACUAUAGGGGCCAUAAGGACCUGUCCCAGGCGCUAUAGGGGCCGUAAGGACCUGUCCUGGGCGCUAUAGGGGCCGUCCCGGGCGCUAUAGGGGCCCUAAGGACCUGUCCCAGGCGCUAUUAGGGCCCUAAGGAUCUAUAGGGGCCACAGGACCCUUCCCAGUGCCCAUAAGGCCCCCUCUCAGGCCCUAUAGGAGCCAUAGGGACCCUUCCCAGGCCCUAUAGGGGCCAUAACGCCCCCCCCCGGGCCCUAUAGCAUCCANNNNNNNNNNAAGGACCUGUCCCAGGCGCUAUUAGGGCCCUAAGGAUCUAUAGGGGCCACAGGACCCUUCCCAGUGCCCAUAAGGCCCCCUCUCAGGCCCUAUAGGAGCCAUAGGGACCCUUCCCAGGCCCUAUAGGGGCCAUAACGCCCCCCCCCGGGCCCUAUAGCAUCCAUAACACCCCCCCCCGGGCCCUAUAGCCCCCAUAAUGCCC
rnacentral:lncRNA from 1 species